rnacentral:rRNA from 1 species
UGGGGAAUAUUGGACAAUGGGGGCAACCCUGAUCCAGCAAUGCCGCGUGUGUGAAGAAGGUCUUCGGAUUGUAAAGCACUUUCGACGGGGACGAUGAUGACGGUACCCGUAGAAGAAGCCCCGGCUAACUUCGUGCCAGCAGCCGCGGUAAUACGAAGGGGGCUAGCGUUGCUCGGAAUGACUGGGCGUAAAGGGCGUGUAGGCGGUUUACACAGUCAGAUGUGAAAUCCCCGGGCUUAACCUGGGAGCUGCAUUUGAUACGUGUAGACUAGAGUGUGAGAGAGGGUUGUGGAAUUCCCAGUGUAGAGGUGAAAUUCGUAGAUAUUGGGAAGAACACCGGUGGCGAAGGCGGCAACCUGGCUCAUGACUGACGCUGAGGCGCGAAAGCGUGGGGAGCAAACAGGAUUAGAUACCCUGGUAGUCCACGCUGUAAACGAUGUGUGCUAGAUGUUGGGUACUUUGGUUAUU